AUUGAACGCUGGCGGCAGGCCUAACACAUGCAAGUCGAGCGAGCGGCGGACGGGUGAGUAAUGUAUGGGGACUGCCCGAUAGAGGGGGAUCACUACUGGAAACGGUGGCUAAUACCGCAUACUAUCGGAUAACCCAUAUGGGAUUCUCUAGUCGGUGGGGUAAAGGCUCACCUAGGCGACGAUCCGUAGCUGGCAUGAGAGGAUGACCAGCCACACUGGGACUGAGACACGGCCCAGACUCCUACGGAGGCAGAAGUGGGGAACAUUGAACAAUGGGCGCAAGCCUGAUGCAGCCAUGCCGCGGGGAUGAAGAAGGCCUUAGGGUUGUAAAGUACGUUCAGCGGGGAGGCGUUACCCGCAGAAGAAGCACCGGCUAACUCCGUGCCAGCAGCCGCGGUAAUAC
rnacentral:rRNA from 1 species